rnacentral:rRNA from 1 species
AGAGCGAACGCUGGCGGCAGGCCUAACACAUGCAAGUCGAACGGACUCUUCGGGGUUAGUGGCGGACGGGUGAGUAACACGUGGGAACGUGCCUUUAGGUUCGGAAUAGCUCCUGGAAACGGGUGGUAAUGCCGAAUGUGCCCUUCGGGGGAAAGAUUUAUCGCCUUUAGAGCGGCCCGCGUCUGAUUAGCUAGUUGGUGAGGUAAAGGCUCACCAAGGCUACGAUCAGUAGCUGGUCUGAGAGGAUGACCAGCCACAUUGGGACUGAGACACGGCCAAACUCCUACGGGAGGCAGCAGUGGGGAAUCUUGCGCAAUGGGCGAAAGCCUGACGCAGCCAUGCGCGUGAAUGAUGAAGGUACGUUAGGUAGUUAGUUAAAAUUACUUUACUAAGUUAA